rnacentral:rRNA from 1 species
GGAGUCUGGGCCGUGUCUCAGUCCCAAUGUGGCCGUCCGCCCUCUCAGGCCGGCUACUGAUCGUUGCUUUGGUAGGCCGUUACCCUGCCAACUGGCUAAUCAGACGCGGGUCCAUCUCUGUCCGAUAAAUCUUUUACCGCAAAGCCAUGCGGCUUCGUGGUCUUAUGCGGUAUUACCAGCCGUUUCCAGCUGCUAUCCCCCGGACAAAGGCAGGUUCCCCACGCGUUACUCACCCGUCCGCCACUAAGUCAUACCCGGCUUCGACGAAUCUCCGUCAGAUAUGCUUCGUUCGACUUGCAUGUGUUAGGCACGCCGCCAGCGUUCAUC